AUCAUGGAGGUGGGGGCGGGGGGCUGCACGGCCUGUGUUGUGCAGCGGCCGCAGCUUCCGCUACCUGCGUGAGCGCUGGUGGUGCGCAGCCUUCAGCAGAUGGGGGGAGUGCCCCCCACCUCCCCCCCGGGAGGCCCCGGCCCCCAGGGCGAUGGGCUGGAGCUGGAGCACGAGAUGGCGCUGACCAACGAGGCCUCUUUCCGGACGGGCGCUUCGCGGCCCAUGAGUUCUGUGCUGCCACAGACGUGGGGAAGGGCAGUGCGAGGGGGACUGGCGUACAUCGAGAUCGGGGGGUAUACUGGGGGCUACGGGGGUCUGCAGUGUCUGGAGGGGGUGAAGAGAUUGCUGUACAUCAGGGUCUGGGGGUGUAUUGGGAGUUAUGGUGGUCUGGGGGACUGCAGCGAUUGGUGUAUUGCAAUGGGGAAAUAAAUGAGGGUUUGGAGGGCCUUUUUGGUGUUUGGGGGGGUUGAAAGGAUUGGGGUGCAUCAGUAUUGGGGGAUAUAUUGGAAGUUAUUGAGGUCUGAGGAAGCUGAAGGGGAUGGGGUACAUGGGGUUUGAUGGUGGGGCUGUAAUGCAGGAGAUGUCUGUGGAUACCCUGGUGGGUAUUGGGGAUCUCAUGAGGUGAACCUAUUUUUUUCCCACCCCCCACCUUCCCCAGGCACCCUGGAGACAGACAUCACCUUCCUCCUCAUCUUCAUCGUCAUCCUCUCCUUAUACAUCAGUGAGAGGCUGGGGGAAAAUCUAAGCUUUGAGGGGGUCUGGGGGGAGGCGAUGCUUUGAGAAGUCCUGUGCUCACACCCCCAGUCCCGCCAGAUUUGGUCUGGGGAUGGCACCUGCUUCACACCACCUACUAGAUGCUCAUGGUGACUGCCAGCAUGGGGCGUGAAGGAGAGCUUGGGGGCUAUGGGCAGGUUUGUGGGGGCCGGGGGCAGCUGCGGAGACUGGAGAGCAUCAGGGUCUGGGGAAGUUAUGUUGGGAUUUGGAGGGUCUUCAGAGAUUGGGAGGUGUUGAGGUCCGAGGGAUGUAUUGAGAUUUAGUGGGGCUGGGGGUUCUGGGUGGGUUUGAGGGGGCUUUCACAGCAAUGUAUAGGGGUUAUGGGGGUGCACAGGGGCACUUUGAAGUCAUGGGAGGUGAUGAGGGGCUUGUGGGAGUACAGGAGGUAUGGGGCUGCACAGACCCUUGUGUGGGGGGUGUGAAGGAGGGGGGUGCCCAGCCCUCCCCAUGGCCUCCUGCCAGCUGCUCCCCACCUCUCCCCCGGCAGCUUCCUCAUUUUCGUCCUCAUGCUCAUCCUGCUGGGCAAGUGCUUUUCCAUCACAGUCCCGAGCAGGAGCCACAACCACAGUAAAGGCAUCAGUAGCCGGUGUCCCGUGAGCAUCUUACCAGUGGCAGUCACAGCAGUAGCAAUAACAGCAGCAUCGGUGUUUUCGGACUAUACUGGAAGCUGAAGUGCUCUCGACCGGGCAUGAGUGGCAGCAAAACUCCAUUGUCACUGGCCUAGAGGCUCCAUGUAUCCUUGGCAUAGAUCACCUCAGGAGAGAGGACCCUUCUGCUGUGGGACUGCUGGGGGUUGAAGAACAGCAGGUAUUGAUGGCCAGCACAGCAGUGUCCCAUUAGCAAUGUGGUACCGACUGGGACUUCAGGACCCUGUCCAUGAGCUGAUCCGUGAACCGGAGAGCUGGGCGUGCUCAGCAAGACUCACCCUUCAAUAGCCCCACACGGCCCCUGCCUGAGUCCCGUGGACAGUGGGCACUGACAGUGGACUGUCAUGGCCUAAAUGAAGUCACACCAUCACUGAGUGUUGCCCUACUGGACAUGUUGGAACUUCAGUAUGACUGAGAGUCCAAGGCAUCAAAGUGGCACCACAGCAGAGGAGGCUUUUGAGAAAGGGGAGAAGAUAGCUCAGAUCCUCCUGAAGCCUAGUUUUGCUAUAAAACAGAGUAACGUUAAGAGAUCUGCCCAGGAAAUUCAGUUUUUGGAAUUAAAAUAGCAAAAUGGACAUUGUCAGAUUCCAGUGGACAUGGCCAACAAAAUAGCAGCCGUGUCUCCACUGGCCAACAGGAAGGAAACACAGACUUUCCUGGCAUUGUGGUAUUUUGGAGAAGGUAGAUUCCAGGUUACAGUCAGAUUGUAAACCCUUUCUAUCAUGUGGCAUGGAAGAAGAUUGAUUUCAAGUGGGGUCCUUAAUAGCAACAUACUUUUGAACAAAUUAAAGAGAUUGUUCCUGCGAUAGUCAUUGGACCAGUCAUUGUGAAGGCCCAUGGGCCUGCCACCAGGAGAGAUACCGUCUUAGAUUAGGGUGAGAAAAACCUUCCUCCCAUGGGCCCUUGCAGCCACAUGUUAAUAUUUCUUAGGUUUUGUUGUUCUGUUGAUUUGUUAAGUUUAUGUCAUCCUGUUCAGCCUUCGUUCACUGUAUAUGCGCUCCUCCUAGAAUGUUCCUCUUUCCCUUGGACCCAUUGGGUUAUUUUUGCCGCAAUACUCCACCUCUGUGAUCCUAUUAGUCCCCCCAGUUACUAGCCAACCCUUUGCAUCAUUUUCCCCCAUUCCUAUUGGACCUUGACCCUCAGGUCUGAUAUAUAACCCUGGAUCCUUGGCCCCAUUUUGGGUCUCAUCCCUGGAACAUAUUUGAGGUUGGACCCACUAUGCAUGUGCUGAUAAUAAACAGCACUUGGAUUUCCAAAUGGGACCCCGUCUCCUCACCUUUAUUGUAAGCCCUUUGUUAGCAGAGUGCACCAGGCCCCGAAGGCACAGGUCGCUCUCAGGGACAUGCUAUUGCACGAUGCAACAAUUCAGGACAGGACAAGAUGUGGAAAAUCACCACAGCCAGGGAGAAUGGUCCAUCCUGGAGCCUCUGGCAGAAGGGACUUGGAGAAGUUCAAGCACCACCCUGUGGUUCUUGAGUCUGGGAUACCAAGGAUCUAAGGCCUGCUACACCCCUACACCACACUGCAGAUACUGGCAGCUUAUGAGGAGAUUCCAUGUCUUUCAAAAGUGAUUGGCACCAAAGCAGUUUUCACUGGCACCUGACUGCCAGUGUGGAGUUGGAUGUUCAAAGGAAAAGGGAUAUUAGAAGUCAUUACCAACUUGCCCAGAGGCAAAAAUUUCAGCUUAUCAUCAGAAGAGGAGGAGGUGAAGGUGGCAUGUGCUAAGGAGACCCUGGCUACCAGAAAAUGAAAAGCAUCACUCUCUCAUAUGGUUCCUGCCAUAUGUAGGGAUGCAUCAAAAAUAGAAAGUUGCUGUAUGGAAUCCUACAUGACUUGUAGAAGCCACUGAAGGACAAGAUGGAUCCAGUUAGGUUAAAGCUUAAAGCCAUCUAGGUGACUUUGGAUAUGGCUGAAUGAGAGAAAUGGCCAACACCCUGCCUCUGUACUGACUCAUGGGUGGUCCCCCUGUACUGACUCAUGGAUGGUGGCAAAUGCUCUGUGGCAUGGGGUGGCUGGAACCAUGGGAAAAAGACAAUUGUCAGCACAAGGGAAACCCAUCAGGGCUGCUGGACUGGGGCAAGACAUUGCUGCCCAGGGGAGAAGUUUGCUGUGAAAGUCCCUCCUGCGGAUGCUCACAUACCCAAGAGUUCGGCACUGAUGAGCAGCACAACAAAGGACAGGGGUAUGGGGCUGCGAGGAUUAAAGUGUCGUAGGUGGGUCUGGACUGACCACACAAGGGUGAGUUAUUUCUGGCUCGGUGGGCCCAUGAUGCCUCAGGUAACCAGUGUUUCAGAGGCAGAUGACAGGCUGCCCAGGAGAGGUAAAGACCUUUCAGUCCUGCAACGUUUUGUGUGGGAGCAGUCCUUGGAUGGGUCCAGAUUUUAAGCUUGGCACCAAAUUUAGGAAGGUUGGGCUCAAAAAAUGAAUGAAAGAACAUUUCCUUGGGAGGAGAAACACCUCGUCCUACUGUGGGUACUGCAGAUGAUUGUCUGCCCAGGAAAGGAAAAGGCAAGCAAGACUUAUCUCUCCAGACACCUAUUCUGUUGGAGCAAUCCUUGGACAUAUUCAUUAGUAGAGGUGGUUUCCAAAUUUCGCAUAUGUGCUCCUGAAAGGGAAUGACACUGCUUUUCCUUGGAAAAUAAAUCUAGUCACAUUGUUUCAGGACAAAAACAUUUUGCUGGCCUUCACCUUCACCUGGCAGAUGAUCAUCUGCAGUACCGUCAUACAAAGUGUUUCCCUUCACAAGAAUAGGCACUGUCAUUCACAUUGAAGAAUCUACUUCUGGCAUUUGGAGCUGAGUUCCAGUACUGAAUCUAGGGAUUGCUGUCACACCAAACAGACUGGGGCAGAAAAGCCUUGCUGGCAUUUUCUUCCCCUUUCCACUUUAUAAUCUGUGGCUAGCUGCUUUCCUUUCCAUGUAAAAAUACUGUCAUUUCAUUUCAGGAGUCAAACACACAAUUUUGUAUACCACCUCCAGUACUGAGUAUGUCCAAGGAUUGCUCCCAAACAAAGGCUCCAGGACAGAAAGUCUUGCUGGCACAUCUCUCCACUGGACAGAUGAUCAUCUGUAGCACCACCAUUAGGACUGGGAGUUUCACUUUUCUAGGAAAGGUACUGUCAUUCACAUUCAGGGCCUGAGUUCUGACGUUUGGAUUCAAGCUCCAAUACUGAAUGUCUAAGGAUUGCUCCCACACAAAAAAAUGUGAGAACAGAAAGAUGUUGCUGCAAUUUACCUUCAUUUUGCAGUUAUCUGAACAUCACCAGCAGGAUUAUGUGUUUGCCUUCCCAAGGAAAGGUACUGUCAUUCAUAUUCAGGAGCACAGUUGCAGCAUUUUGAGCCAUGCUCCAAUAUGGAAUACUUGCAAUGAUUAUCUAACACAAAAUGAUCCAGGGCAGAAAUGUCUUUGUGGCCUUUACCUCCUCUGGGAAGCAUAUCUGCACAAGAAACAGUGGGUUAUGUCCUUUCCCUCCCAUGGAAAAGCACUUUAAUCCUCUUCAGGAGUAUACCAUCUUACUUUGGAUACAACAUUCCAGUAUUAAAUAUGUCCAAGGAUUGCUCCCACACAAUAUGUAUCAGGUCAGGAAACUGUUGCUGGAUUCUACCUCCCCGGGGCAGAAUGUAAUCUGCACUUUGAAUCCUGGGUCUAGGUGUUUUCCUUCCCCUGUAAAAGUGCUUCAAUCAUCUCUAAGGAGCUCACCAUUGAAAUUUGGGUACCAGCUCCAAUACUGAAUAUUUCCAAGGAUUGCUCUCACACAAAAUGUGGACAGACAGGUCUUGCUGGCCUUUAUCUCCAGUGGAUAGAGCUCCUGAAAGAAAAUGAGAGUGCUUUACUGUGGGAAGGAAAGCAUGUAGCCCCAGUGGUUUAGGUGCAGAUUACAGGCGAAAGCUUUCUGACCUGGCAGGUUUUGUAUGAGAGUAAUCCUUGGUCAUAUAUAAUAUCAGAGGUGGUAUCCACAUUUGAAUGAUGAGCUCCUGGAUGAGAAUGAGAGUUCUUUUCCAUAGGAAGGAAAACAUGUAGCCCCAAUGUUUGUGGUGCUGAUGAGAGGCUGCACAGGGGAGAUAAAGGCCAGCCAGGACCUCUCUAUCGUGGCAUCUUUUUGGUGGGAUCAAUCCUUGGACAUAAUAUUGGAAUUGUUACCUAAUUUGGGUAAUGGGUAAAAUCCCUGGACAUAUUCAGUUAAUCGCACUUACAUCUGAAAAGCAUUUUUGAUGUAGAAUGCAUGUACUAAGUUACCAUACUUACUAGCUUAAAUCAAAGAAGUGACUCCACCCCAUGGGUUGAACAUGUUAAUGGGUGAACCAAAUUUGGUUCCUGCUUGCAGUGAUUCCUCCUGCAAGAACGAUAAGCUGUACUUCGAUGGUUAACUGUCAGAGUCCAGGGCAUCCCUCUGGUAACCCUGAAGGGUCUGAGACCUGGGCAGGAGAGUUUGAAGACUGGACAGGGUGGUCUGGGGUCUGUACAAGGGGGUUAGACAGCCUCACACAGAGCCCAGGAGGACACUGCUUUUGAUCCCUGGCCAUGGGAGAGAAUGCCCACAUUGUACGAAGAAUUACAAGCUAAGAGAAUUCAAAAUAAGUAGUAGUUAGUUUAUCACAGAGUGUGAAUGUAGAAUCUAGGAUUUUCAGUAUAUGGGGUUGAAGAGGCAAGAUGGAGGAAAUGGGGAGUGGUCCUGUCCUCCUUGUUCUUGUCCUUAUCUCCCAUUUUCUGUUGAGUUGGAUCACAAGGAUUGGUUUAGAGUAGAAAUGAUAUGUUAACAUAGGUAGUAAGUAUUGGUAGGAUUUUGUAAAUAAAAAGUACAUUGUGGAUGGUGGUAGGAUCAGGGAAACGGUGUUGUAGUUUAGAUUUAGGGGAGUCCCCGGGGAGGGUUCCCCAGGAGCCCCCCGGGCUCUAUAUUCAUUGGUUUGCAUGCAGGCAGGCAAGGAGACUCUAGACGGCUGGUGAGGUGCUGAUGAGAUGAGGGUUUAUUUGGAGUCUUACCCCAGGAAGGCAGAAUGGUCACUGAGGGAGAGGGGAGAGGAGGGGGAGAGAGGGAAGGGGAGAGGGAAGGGGAGAGGAGCAGAGCCUCCGGAGGCCUCCAGGGCAAAGAGAGCGAGCCCUCUCCAUUUGCACCCUUAACAGAGAGAUUCAAAGUGGGCACAGAUAGAUCUUUAGGCCAAUGAGGUUACAGAUACACGAUACUGCAGGGGAGGUUAGAGACUUGGGAUGAAUCAUACAGUUUCCAGG